UGGCAUCAAUCAAAGUCCAUCAUCAGCUUUCAGUUUCGAAAAACAAACACAAGUAUCUAGAGAGCUUAAAAGAUCAGAGAAAAACAAAAAAGAUGCGAGCUUUACUGCAACUUAGCAAGAGACUCUCUCGCACUCUUGUCUUCUCUUCCUCCUACUCCUCUCUUACUUCUUCUAGAACUUUCGCUACACUCACUCUAUUAUCACCUGACUGCCACGGUGCUGCCAUCACCACCAACGGCAAUGUUUACGCCAGGCCUUGGUUCGCAAUCCAACACCGCGGCGUUAAAGUCAAUGCUAUUCAUUUAAGACCUGGAAAUGUAAUUGAAAAAUCAGGAAGAAUUUUCGAGGUGGUGGAUGCGGAGCAUAAACAGCGAGGAAGAGGAGGAGCGAUUUUGACGUUGGAGCUUCGAGAUGUUGACAGUGGAAACAAGCAAACCUUUCGCUUUGGUGCAGAGGAGGCUGUUGAAAGGGUUUUUGUUGAGGAGAGGUCUUUCACAUGUUUGUACACAGAACAUGAAUCAGUAUAUCUAAUGGACCUUGAGAAAUUUGAGCAACUCGAAGUGCCGCUGAUCUUGUUUGGCCAAGCUGCUGCAUAUCUAAAAGAGGAAAUGAAAGUUAAAAUGCAGUUAUUUGAUGGAAGACCUUUGUCUGGAUCAAUUCCAAAACAAGUAACAUGUGUUAUUAAGGAGACACAAGAUCAUGCAGCUACACCUCGGUUUGCUCCACAACUUGCCAGAUACUCAUUUGUACAAAAAGGCUGUGCUGGACAAUGGUCUCAUUAUUCAAGUGCCUACAUACAUUGAGACUGGAGAAGCAGUUGUUGUCAAUACUGAAGAUGGCUCGUUUGUUACCAGGGCCAACAAAUAACCUUAGCCCACGGCUACUUUCCGGAGGAGAAAAUUGAAAAUACAAAAUCUUUUUUUUCGCAUUGGAGCCAGGCACUGCAGCUUACUGCAUACCGUUCUGCUUGGUUCUUUUCUAUCAAUGCAUGCUUUUUUUGGUACUUUUCACUAGAUCUUAAAGUACGAGGGUCUCUUUAGAAAUUAUGAGGCAUAUGGUAUUCUUUUCAACUUCUUUCCUAAACAAGAGGAUAUGUUUUGCAUGCAGAAUUGGAAAAUGUAGGACUAGCUUUUAGAGCCGUCGAAACCUACCAUCAGUCUAGAAAUUUUGUCAACAAGAGGACUUCAACAUUGUAUUGAAGCAUUUUCCUUUUAAUGUCAGACCUAAUCUCCAAAAUUCUUGAACA